UGAAGAGCUCCACCUCCUUGUCCUCAGAAUUAAUGUUUUGGUAGGAACAAAAGUUUACAUCGUAUGUUUCUCUGGGAUCAGCCAGCGCGAAGGACGUCUAUUUUCCAACUGGC